rnacentral:rRNA from 1 species
UGGGGAAUAUUGCGCAAUGGGGGGAACCCUGACGCAGCCAUGCCGCGUGAAUGAAGAAGGCCUUCGGGUUGUAAAGUUCUUUCGGUAUUGAGGAAGGUUGAUGUGUUAAUAGCACAUCAAAUUGACGUUAAAUACAGAAGAAGCACCGGCUAACUCCGUGCCAGCAGCCGCGGUAAUACGGAGGGUGCGAGCGUUAAUCGGAAUAACUGGGCGUAAAGGGCACGCAGGCGGUUAUUUAAGUGAGGUGUGAAAGCCCUGGGCUUAACCUAGGAAUUGCAUUUCAGACUGGGUAACUAGAGUACUUUAGGGAGGGGUAGAAUUCCACGUGUAGCGGUGAAAUUCGUAGAGAUGUGGAGGAAUACCGAAGGCGAAGGCAGCCCCUUGGGAAUGUACUGACGCUCAUGUGCGAAAGCGUGGGGAGCAAACAGGAUUAGAUACCCUGGUAGUCCACGCUGUAAACGCUGUCGAUUUGGGGAUUGGGCUUAGAGCUUGGUGCCCGUAGCUAACGUGAUAAAUCGACCGCCUGGGGAGUACGGCCGCAAGGUUA